rnacentral:tRNA from 1 species
GGCCCCAUAGGAUAAUGGUUAGUCCAUUGGAUUCUCAGUCCAAGAGUCAGGGUUCGAUUCCCUGUGGGGCUG